GAUGAAGAACGUAGCGAAACGCGAUAUUUCUUGUGAAUUGCAGAAGUGAAUCAUCAGUUUUUGAACGCACAUUGCACUUUGGGGUAUCCCCCAAAGUAUACUUGUUUGAGCGUUGUUUCUCUCUUGGAAUUGCUUUGCUCUUCUAAAAUUUCGAAUCAAUUCGUUUGAAAAACAACACUAUUCAACCUCAGAUCAAGUAGGAUUACCCGCUGAACUUAAGCAUAUCAAUAAGCGGAGGA
rnacentral:misc_RNA from 1 species